GGGAGGGAGUCACAGGUUCGCACACGCGAGGCGGGGCGCGCGCAGGCGGCACGCGGGUGAAAGUCCUCCCAGGCGCUGCAGGCGGUGCCGAGGCACAAGCUUUGCUGCAGGAGUAGCGGCCCGCACUCGCUCCAGCGCCCGCCGCGGUCAGCGGCUCCCGUGUCGCGAGUGUCCACCCGCGCACUGAGGAAGCCCACCAGCCCUCGCCAGCCUUGGCGGAGCGCGCUAUGGCCCCGCGUAAGAAUGCCAAGGGCAGCGGCAACAGCAGCAGCAGCGGCGGCUCCGGCAGCGGUAGCACGAGCUGGCAGCAGCGGGGGCAGCAGCAGCCCCGGGUCCCGGAGAGAGACAAAGCACGGAGGACACAAGAAUGGGAAGAAAGGAGGACUCUCGGGAACUUCAUUCUUCACGUGGUUUAUGGUGAUUGCAUUGCUGGGUGUCUGGACGUCUGUAGCUGUGGUUUGGUUUGAUCUUGUUGACUAUGAAGAAGUUCUAGGAAAACUAGGAGUCUAUGAUGCUGAUGGUGAUGGAGAUUUUGAUGUGGAUGAUGCCAAAGUUUUAUUAGAAGGAUCCAGUGGGGUAGCCAAGAGAAAAACUAAGGCGAAAGUUAAAGAACUCACUAAAGAGGAGCUCAAGAAGGAAAAAGGGAAACCUGAUUCAAGGAAGGAAAGUAAGAACGAAGAGAGAAAAAAGGGGAAGAAAGAAAAAGAGGAUGACGGAAAGGAUAAGAAAAUUGCUGAUGCAGACCUGUCCAGGAAGGAGUCUCCCAAGGGUAAAAAGGACAGAGAAAAAGAGAAAGUGGACCUAGAAAAAAGUGCGAAAACCAAGGAAAAUAGGAAAAAAUCAACAAAUAUAAAAGGUGUUUCUAGCAAAAUGGCAUCCAGAGACAGAGAUGACAGAAAGGAAAGUAGAAGCUCUACCAGAUACGCACACUUAACAAAGGGAAAUAACCAGAAAAGAAACUCCUAAAGCUCUGGCAUCAUCAUCCCAGAACAUGGUCGUGUUCCAGAUGACAAUUUGUUAUGGAAAAGCAUGGAAAAUGUAUUAUUGCUCUGGUUGGUGAAGGUGUGUAAAUUAGCCAUUGAAUGUAUUAUUGGUGCUGAGCAAGUAAAUUAUCCGAAAUUUAAA